ACUCCUACGGGAGGCAGCAGUGGGGAAUAUUGCGCAAUGGGGGAAACCCUGACGCAGCAAUACCGCGUGAGUGAAGAAGGUUUUCGGAUCGUAAAGCUCUGUUAUUGGGGAAGAAAAAAAGACGGUACCCAAGAAGAAAGUCCCGGCUAACUACGUGCCAGCAGCCGCGGUAAUACGUAGGGGACAAGCGUUGUCCGGAUUUACUGGGCGUAAAGGGCACGCAGGCGGUUUUUUAAGUCAGAUGCGAAAGGUACCGGCUCAACCGGUGACAUGCAUUUGAAACUGAAAGACUUGAGUAUUGGAGAGGCAAGUGGAAUUCCUAGUGUAGCGGUGAAAUGCGUAGAUAUUAGGAGGAACACCGGUGGCGAAGGCGGCUUGCUGGACAAAUACUGACGCUAAGGUGCGAAAGCGUGGGGAGCAAACAGGAUUAGAUACCCUGGUAGUC
rnacentral:rRNA from 1 species